rnacentral:tRNA from 1 species
GUGUGGGUGCCGGAGAGGUCUAACGGGGCUGACUGUAAAUCAGCUGAUUGCAAAAUCUUCGUAGGUUCGAAUCCUACCCCGCACA